UCCGGUUUGUCACCGGCAGUCUCGCAUGAGUCCCCAGCAUUACCUGAUGGCAACAUGCGACGAGGGUUGCGCUCGUUGCGGGACUUAACCCAACACCUCACGGCACGAGCUGACGACAGCCAUGCAGCAUCUGCGCACGCUCCCUUGCGGGUCAUUCCCGUUUCCGGGUUUUACCACGUGCAUGUCAAGCCCAGGUAAGGUUCUGCGCGUUGCAUCGAAUUAAACCACAUACUCCACCGCUUGUGCGGGCCCCCGUCAAUUCCUUUGAGUUUCAGUCUUGCGACCGUACUCCCCAGGCGGCGAACUUAACGCGUUAGCUUCGACACUGAGCUCCGAGUUGAGCCCAACAUCCAGUUCGCAUCGUUUAGGGCGUGGACUAC
rnacentral:misc_RNA from 1 species